GAUACGCGAAGAACCUUACCUGGCCUUGACAUUGAAAGAACCUUUAAGAGAUUAGAGGGUGCUAGUUUACUAGAGCUUGAAAACAGGUGCUGCACGGCUGUCGUCAGCUCGUGUCGUGAGAUGUUGGGUUAAGUCCCGCAACGAGCGCAACCCACGUGAUUAGUUACUAACAGUUCGGCUGAGGACUUUAAUCAGACUGCCUUCGCAAGGAGGAGGAAGGUGUGGACGACGUCAAGUCAUCAUGGCCCUUACGGCCAGGGCUACACACGUGCUACAAUGGGGCAUACAAAGAGCCGCGAUACCGUGAGGUGGAGCAAAUCUCAUAAAAUGCCUCCCAGUUCGGAUUGUACUCUGCAACUCGAGUGCAUGAAGUUGGAAUCGCUAGUAAUCGUAGAUCAGCAAUGCUACGGUGAAUACGUUCCCGGGUCUUGUACUCACCGCCCGUCACACCAUGGGAGUUGAUUUCAUUCGAAGCGGGGAUGCUAGGAUAGCUACCUUCCACAGUGGAAUUA
rnacentral:rRNA from 1 species